UACGUAGGGUGCGAGCGUUAAUCGGAAUUACUGGGCGUAAAGCGUGCGCAGGCGGUGAUGUAAGACCGAUGUGAAAUCCCCGGGCUCAACCUGGGAACUGCAUUUGUGACUGCAUGGCUAGAGUACGGUAGAGGGGGGAUGGAAUUCCGCGUGUAGCAGUGAAAUGCGUAGAUAUGCGGAGGAACACCGAUGGCGAAGGCAAUCCCCUGGACCUGUACUGACGCUCAUGCACCGAAAGACGUGGGGAGCAAACGGAGGAU
rnacentral:rRNA from 1 species